GAAACAACAAUAAAGAAAUGAAACCCUCAUUCCCUUUCUCUUUGGUGAAAACCCCGACGAAGUGUAGAUGACUUUUACACAAUUCAAAAUAUGCUGCACGGCAUUUUCUUCUCAAAUUCAGUCAGAUUCCUUUUUUCAGUUAAACGAUGCAGUUCUGCUGUUACUUCGUAGCUUCUAAAUUUGUACUUCGUUUUAAGAAAAGCAGAAGUUUGAGCCCAAAAGUUGUAACAUUUCCCAUUUUUUUAGACCUUGAUUUUUCCAAUUGAAGAAUCAUCCUCUUUCAACAUUGAACCCAAAUAAAUGCGUAGAAAUCAAUUUACUUGCAACAGAAUCACCGGAACAAAAGUGGAAUUGACGGAAAACAGAGAGUUCGGUGACCAAUCGCCGGAAGUGUUGCUUUUAGGGUUGCGCCAUCCGUUUUUUGGAUUUUCAUGAUUCAUAGGAGAGUAGUUCGACCUUGGCGGAAUGAAAAUUUGCAUCCCGGAUUCUUGGAAAAUGGCUAAUCAAUACAUCAGAAAACCCUGAUAUUAAUGGUUUUUUAUAGAGAAGAUAAUUUUUGCUUGUUUGUUUUAAGUCUGGAUUGAUUAGGGUUCUGAUGUACACCUUGACCUCCCUAUACCUCUUAUUGUGAAAUGUACAAUGUUUUUUUUUGUCAUUGAAAUACAUUUUGAUAAUCUUAUGCUUGCAUAUGCAUUUUCCGUUGUGAUAUUGUUAUUGGAGGAUGUCUUCUCUUGGAUCCUUAUCACUCUGCACACUUUCUGGAACUGGAAAGGGGACUACCAUAUAUUGCAACUCUUGAUAACAAUUCCUUUGUUGUGUUCAGUGUUCCUAUCUACGUUGUAGUAUACCUUCAUGCACCAUUCGAACUGCUUUACCUUUUAUACUACUUUACAGGAGUUGAGAUUCAUUGCAUAAUCGGUGAUCUAAGUGGAUAUGCUAUCAAUAUAUCACUAAAGAGUUUUGAUCUCAGCUGGCAUCUCGACACUAUUGUGGUGGCCACUCUUCAGGCUUCAUUGAACAUAAGUAUUUCUGCACAAGUGAUGUGCAUGCGCUCACGUGUUAUUUUAUUUAUGUCCUAUAGAGGUGGCCUCCGCAUUGGCAUCGAGAGCUCUAGACUGAUAGGCAUGGCAAGGGAUUCUACUACUAGAGCCGAGGGCUUGUUAUUGUGCACCCAUAACCAAGUAUACUUACAGUGUUACAGGUAUAUACUUCGUAUAUUACAAUGAUGAAUGUAUUUUGGUCUCUUAGUAACUCAGAGUUAACUUCUUUUACUGGAUUUUCUCCCACACGCUUUUGGGUUUAGUCAUUUUAACACUUUUAUGUUAUUGAAUUCUGAAUCACUUGUUGGGAAAAUCUCAAGAAAUGUAAACCUUUUUUUUUUUUUCUCCUUUAAACAUUUAAAAACCUGUAACAUCCUGAUAAAAAUAAAAA